GAUGAACGCUGGCGGCGUGCCUAAUGCAUGCAAGUCGAGCGAACGGACGCGAAGCUUGCUUCUCUGAUGUUAGCGGCGGACGUGUGAGUAACACGUGUAUAACCUACCUAUCAGACUGGGAUCACUUCGGGAAUCCGGCGCUAAUACCGGAUGAUCUUUUGCUCCGCAUGGUUCAAUAGUGAAAGACGGUCUUGCUGUCACUUAUCGCUGCAUCUCGGCUGCAUUAGCUAGUUGGUAAGGUAACGGCCUACCACGGCAACUAUGCGUAGACGACCUGAGAGAGGGGUAGGCCACAUGGGAGCUUGACCGGGGUCAAGACUCCUACGAGAGGCAGCAGUAGGGAAUCUUCCGCAGUGGGCGGAAGCAUUGCGGAGCAACCGCGCGUGAGAGGUGGAGGUCUUCGGAGCGUGAAACUCUGUUAUUGGGGGAGAACAGAUGUGGAAGGAACUGAGGACAGCUUGACGGUAACGAAUCAGGAAGCCACGGCUAACUACGUG
rnacentral:rRNA from 1 species